rnacentral:piRNA from 1 species
UCAAACAGUUGUGAUGGAGGCCAGUGUUUA